AUUGAACGCUGGCGGCAGGCCUAACACAUGCAAGUCGAGCGGAGCGGCGGACGGGUGAGUAAGGCAUAGGAAUCUGCCUGGUAGUGGGGGAUAACGUCCGGAAACGGGCGCUCAUACCGCAUACUAUCAGAUGAGCCUAGGUCGGUGUAGCUAGUGGGGGGGGUAAUGGCCUACCAAGGCGACGAUCCGUAACUGGUCUGGGAGGAUGAUCAGUCAUACUGGAACUUAGAAACGGUCCAGACUCCUACGGUAGGCAGGAGUGGGGAAUGUUGGACAAUGGGCGAAAGCCUGAUCCAGCCAUGCCGCGUGUGUGAAGAAGGUCUUCGGAUUUUAAAGCUCUGUAAGUUGGGAGGCGUUACCAACAGAAUAAGCACCGGCUAACUUCGUGCCAGCAGCCGCGGUAAUUC
rnacentral:rRNA from 1 species